CCUACGGGAGGCAGCAGUGAGGAAUAUUGGUCAAUGGGCGUAAGCCUGAACCAGCCAAGCCGCGUGAGGGAUGAAGGUUCUAUGGAUCUUAAACCUCUUUUAUAAGGGAAUAAAGUGCGGCACUUCUCCCGUUUUGUGUCUACCUUAUGAAUGAGCAUCGGCUAACUACGUUCCAUCAGCCGCGGUAAUACGGAGGAUGCGAGCGUUAUCCGGAUUUAUUGGGUUUAAAGGGUGCGUAGGCGGCCUUUUAAGUCAGAGGUGAAAGUGUGUGGCUCAACCAUAGAAUUGCCGUUGAAACUGGGAGGCUUGAGUGUGUUAGAGGCAGGCGGAAUGCGUGGUGUAGCGGUGAAAUGCUUAGAUAUCACGAAGAACACCGAUUGCGAAGGCAGCCUGCUAAGCCAUGACUGACGCUGAUGCACGAAAGCGUGGGGAUCAAACAGGAUUAGAUACCCCUGUAGUC
rnacentral:rRNA from 1 species